CUCCCAAAGUGCUGGGAUUACAGGCAUGAGUCACUGUACCAGCCUGAUUUUGUUUUUUAAUUGUAUUAUCUUAGUUUGGUUUAGGAGUAUGGUUCUGCUAGCCUUAUAAAAUAAAUUGGCAAGCUUAUCAUCUUCUAUGCCCCCCCCCAAAUUUGAAUAAUAAAGGAAUUAGCCGUUUCUGCAAGAUGUGUUGAACUCAUUUAUACAACUAUCUGGGUUUGCUUUGGAAAUAGCUCUUUGAUUGCUUUAUCAAUUUCCUUUAGAGUUAUCUUUUCAGGUUUGCUACUUUCUCAGGAAACAAUUUGGAUAAUUUAUACUUUUCAAGAAAAUCAACCAUUCCCUUUUUCUGAAUAUAUUGCUAUAGAGUUGUACAUAGUAUUUCUUAUAAUUUUUGUAAAACUCCUAAUAUUGUCAAUAGUGCAGUUUUAGUUUCUGACGAUAUAUUUUACCUUCCCUCUCAUCCUCAGAUGAGACUGGCUGUGCUGUUUUGGCAUACAUCUUACAUUUAUAUAUGUUAUAAGCCCCACACUACCUUGUUUUUGUUAGGCAGAUUCUUAAAUAAUAGAAAAUUAUAUAUAAUACUUAAGAAAAAAUAGGAAAAAAAAUCUUACUAUUUACCCCCAUAGUUACCAUUUCUGGAGCUCCUCAUUCCUUUGUGUUAGAUCCAUUUAUCUAUCUGGUAUUAUUAUUCUGCUUGAAAGACUUCCUGUGGUAUUUCCCAUAGGGCAGCUUUGCAGGUGAUGAAAUCUUUUAGCUUUUGUAUAUCUAAAAAAGUCUCUUUCAGCAUUUUGAAAUAUAUUUUGAAGAAUAUUUUGAAAUAUAUAUUUAAAUAAAUUCUAGGUAUAGAAUUCUAAAUUGAUGAGGUUCUUUUCUUUCAAUUCAUAAAAAUAGUUGGUCCAUUGUUCUCUUGAUUAUUUCCCAUAAGGAAAUCUUACACAUAAUGUGUCAUUUUUCUCUAGCUGGUUUUGAGCAAUUGAUUACUAUGUGCCUUGACAUAGUUUUCUUCAUGUUUCUUGUGCUUGGGGUGCAUUGAGCUGCAUGAAUCUGGAGUUUUCACCUGAUUUGAAAACAACUUUAGACAUUUGAAUUUUUUAAUACCAAUUUUCCUCUCCUUUGGAAACUCCAAUGCAUUUAUAUGAGGCUGCGUGAUUUUGUUAUAUAGCUCUCUGGUAGUUUCUUCAAACCUGUAUACUGAUCAGCUGUCUCAUGAAUACGGGAGAAAACCUGCAGGUCUCCGAGAGUUCUCUCCCUGUGCAACUUAUCGCUUUUCAGUGCUGUGUACCGGCCAUUCCAGCUGCCUUUGUUUCGCUGGACUCUCAGCUGUGUCUUCUGAACUCAGUGAGUUUGCCAGGCUCUGCCUGCCCUGUCCCCCAACCCCACACAAUGCAGCCUAAACGUUCCCUCAAGGUAGCACGCAAGGUAAUCAUGCGACUCACUUCAUUUGUUUUCUGUUCCUCUGGGAUCACUGUCCUUUGUUCCUGAUAUCCGUGGUCUUGUUUUACGUAUUUUGCCUUUGUAUUGGGUGGUUCAGGCAGGAGGGUAAAUCUAAUCCCUAUUACUCCAUCUUGGCCAGAAGUUGAAGUUAACCUAUGGAUUUUGAUUUGUAAUGCACUCACUCUUCUUCAUUUUUAAUAGUCUGUAUUUUUAGUUUUGAUUUUUCUCUUUUAACUUUAGAUAUUCAGAGGAGUCUUUAUUUCUAAAUGACCUUUUUUCUCCAUUCUUCUGUUGUGAUUUCUAAUUUCAUGGCUUUGUAGACAGAGAAUGUAACCUAUGUAAUAAAAACCCAUAAAGAGACAAACCAGAUUGCUAACAGGUUGAUAACAGGAUUUUUCUAGGUUGCCUGGCAAUGAGUUAGCUAGGCUGAACCGCUGCUCAAGCACACCUCUCCAGAAGAUGCCAAGAGAGUCUAGACCCACAUCCAACCUCCCUGGCUGAGUCUGUCAUGCACUGUGUGACUCCGGCAUGGCCUCACAUUAGUUGCAUGGUAUUUGCUUCAUGAUUUCUUUUCCCAACUUCUAUAAUGGUUUCAUGGAUGUUUGAAAAAGAUUUGUUUUCUCUGUGUCAAAAUUUUAUCUUUACAAAAUGCUCUCUUACCUGAUAAGAUUUGUAAAUGCAAAAGUCAGACUGAGGGGUCAUUUAAAAAAUAAAACAUUUCUAUGCAUUUUAUUUUAAUGUAAUACACAAAAAUAUACAUUCAGUUGUCAGUCUUUUGAUGCAGGGCCAGGACCUUUUUUUAGUCUUUUAAAAAAAAUCUUGAGUACACUGAUUGGAGUUCAGUCUGCUUUCUUGUAUAAAUCACUACCAGACUACAUUGCCUAUGAUUUCUAAUUUGGGUUUCUUUAUGGUGCAAGGCAAAUGUAGAGAAACUGGUGGAGUAUUCAAGUUUUCCAAGAUUCUCUCUCAAAUCAUUUUACAGUUGUCUUAUGCAUACUUAUCUGACAACAAAUUUCAAAACGAUCCAUCUUUAUUGAAUCUUUACAAAGUAUUCAACUAGUUUUCUAGAAAGAACUACUAUUUUUUACCUUCAUAUUUUAUUAGUUUGUAUAAUAUUUAAAAAUAAAUUAUUAAUAAGAUCUGACAUUAGAAGGUCUGGAAUAACUUGACUGGUGAGAGAAAAAGUGGGUGAAUAUACGAAAGUGGCUUACUCCUCUAGCCUUCGCAUGUCAAGGGCAUUGGCAUUUGUUAUAGAAAGAAUACAGAACAUCAGUUAAUCCAAUGAAUCAGGUAUGUGGCAUUAAAAGAGCUUCUAAUAUGAUACAUAAGGCUUGUUAAUUAUAUUUUUCAAAUUCUUGAUAUUUUUUCUCUUCUUAAUCUCUUAAUUCUGAGAGAGAUGAUUUUACUUCCUCAUUUUUCUCUGAGUAUGUCUGUCAGUUUUUGCCUUGUGUAACUCCAAGCUAUGCUAGUUGCAAAAAGAAUGAUAACAUUUCUUCAUCAUGUACUAUAAACUUUAUCAAUGUAAAUACCCUUGGCCCAUUUUCAUUCUUUUAACUUUUAAUUCUAUUUUGUUUUAUAUUACUAUCAUCAUUUCUUUAUUUUAAUUAAUAUUUGUCUAAUAUGUCUUUGUCUAUUGGUUAAUUUUUAGUACUUCUCUGCCAUUUGAAUUCAGGAGAGUCUCUUAUGUUCUGAUGUAUUCCUGCUAUGCUUUCUUGUAUGUGUAUAUUUGUGAUAUUGAUCACCUUUCUUUGUUCUUUUUCUUUCAUCUACUGCAGCAUUUCAUAACUCUGAGUGCAAACUGUAACCACCUUUCAAAAAGAAAAUAGUGCCUAAACUUUACCCCAAAAUCUCAGAGGAAGAGAGUGAUACCAGUAUUUUUUUUAAAGACUAAUAUUCUGUUAGGGUUGAGAACUCUAGUAUCAUACUAUUUUUAUUCCCAUGGUGCUUCCCCUUAAAUUCUCAGCAAUCACAAACUUGUCAUUUUCUAUCAAUGGACAGACUGAAACAGUUGUAUCAGUCAAGGUCAAAAUCAGAGAAGCAGAACAAAGAGUGAUCUAGAAUAAGAGUCUGAUUCUAGGGAUUCAAACAUUAUGCCACUGGGAUUGCUGGUGGAGUAAUCUGCUGGCCUGCAUGUGGUGCUGGGCCUGAAGUCACCGUGGGUCAGCCAGACUAGCAGUUGGGAAGGAAAGGUGAACAAGAACAAAAGCAGGAACCAACCACAAACUUCUAGAAAAAGAUGGAGCUUACAUCUGUCUUUCAUUACUCCACCUUAUGUGACUUGGAUGGCCUGAGGCCUGCAGGAGUAGCUGGCACCUCUAGCUAUAGGGCUGCACAUAUCUUUGGCCCAGAACACAGAGAAGUUUGAGGAGAUGUGUCAGCAGCUGGAGGAGCUGCUGGUUGGGUGCUGCCACAUGCCAACAAGAUUACUCUAGUUUGAUGUCAUAAUUUCUCAUGGAGUUAAAACUGGACUCUUCAAAAUGAUAGAGUUGUCUGAAUUUGGCUGCAAUGCGAACUACUAAUCGAUUCAAGCUUGUUAUCAAGACACCUAGAGAUCACCAGCGACAGACGGUAAAGCCAAAAGAUCUGUCAUCCUUUAUUCCUUCCCAGACCACUGGAGGGAUGUAAACAGCAGUUAUCAGUUAUCAGCAAUAAACCCUUAUAUCAACAUUUAUCAAGAUAAAGUUUCACAAAACAGGAAGAGAAGAGAUAUCAUUAUUAACCACCACAGGGUGGAAGCAACAAGAGUGUCCAUUAAUGGAUUAAUGUAUACAAAAUGUGAUACAUACAUACAAUGAAAUAUUAUUCAGCUUGAAAAAGGAAGAACAUUCUGACACAUGCUACAACAU
rnacentral:lncRNA from 1 species